rnacentral:rRNA from 1 species
GGGAGGGGGGGGAGAGGGGCGGGGGUAAGACGAAGGGGGGAGGCGGUGGUCGGAUUUACGGGGAGGAAAGGUGGUGGAGGAGGGCUGGAAAGGUGGGGGUGAAAGCCCGAGGCUCAACCUCGGAACUGCCGCCAAAACUUCCAGGCUGGAGCAAGAGAGAGGCAAGUGGAAUUGCGAGUGUAGAGGUGAAAUUCGUAGAUAUUCGCAGGAACACCAGUGGCGAAGGCGACUUGCUGGAUCUUUGCUGACGCUGAGACGCGAAAGCGUGGGGAGCAAACAGGAUUAGAUACCCGAGUAUUC